AUUGAACGCUGGCGGCAUGCUUUACACAUGCAAGUCGAGCGGCAGCGCGGGGGCAACCCUGGCGGCGAGCGGCGAACGGGUGAGUAAUGCAUCGGAACGUAUCCUCUUGUGGGGGAUAACCCACCGAAAGGUGGGCUAAUACCGCAUAAGCUCUGAGGAGGAAAGCGGGGGACCGAAAGGCCUCGCGCAGGAGGAGCGGCCGAUGUCCGAUUAGCUAGUUGGUGAGGUAAAGGCUCACCAAGGCGACGAUCGGUAACUGGUCUGAGAGGAUGAUCAGCCACACUGGGACUGAGACACGGCCCAGACUCCUACGGGAGGCAGCAGUGGGGAAUAUUGGACAAUGGGCGCAAGCCUGAUCCAGCCACGCCGCGUGAGUGAUGAAGGCCUCGGUCGUAAGCUCUGUGGGGAGGGGACGGAACCGGACGUGCACGUUCAUAGCGUGCAGCAUGACGGUACCGUCCUUACGUCAAGCACCGGCUAACUUCGUG
rnacentral:rRNA from 1 species